CUUGAGAGGACUUUUUCAGAGAAAGAUUCUUAUGUUCCCAGGAGAGACACAAGUGAAGAUGAAAUGGAGAUUAUUAUUCAAAAGAGUCUCUCAAGAUUGAACCUGAUCCAUAUACCAGAGGUUAUAUAGCUGGACCACAUAAAAUUUUCUUGGGAGAAAAGAUAUCACAAGAGGAAAAAAAUUGAAGAAACCCUGCAUUAGAGAGUCAAAUUAUUCACACAGUCUGGGACCAGAUGGUAAACAUACAUACCAUCAUGAUCUGGGUGCCCGAACGCAAAGCCAUCUCAUCUGCUGUAGAGCCUGGAGUAACACGGUGAAUAAAGAUGCCUGUAUGGUUUCCACCAAUGAUGCUGAUUUGAUCCAAGAAGGAGUCCCCCUGGAAGAGGUGUUGUAGGGGUCAUAGGAACUGAGAAAGGACCACAAAAGCCAUAAGACUGGUCAAAAACCCUUAUUUCGCAAAUGAGGAAACUUGAGAUCCAGAGAUUGUGACUUACUCAAGGACCAAGAAUCCAAGUUGCAAUUUGAACUCAUGUCUGCUGCUGCCAAAUUCUAUCUUUCAAGAAAUGGAGUUUUCCAGGAAGUCUUUGGUGAUUCGCUUGUGGAGUGAUUGCUUGCAAGGAGGCACAGGGCUACUAGAACAGAAGCUGCCCAUCUGCUCUUGGUUUGAGAUGGCACUCAGAUCUGGCCAGUGCUACCAGGUGAGGAAAGCAGAGGGUAAAGAUCAAUGGAUUCUCUGAACAUGUCAAGGAAUACUUAACCUUCCUAUUGCACAUAUACUCAGGUUAUACUCAUAUAUUAAAUUACAUUGAUGAUCACAUUUGUAUUCAUCCAUGCUCAAGUAACAACUGUAUUGGAAAUCAAACCUUGAAUUUGU